ensembl:lncRNA PHACTR3-AS1 PHACTR3 antisense RNA 1
GGGCCCAUUCUUCCCCAGCACACAGGCGACCCUGCCAGGGAACACGCAUGGCUCGGAGCUCCCAAGUACUCUCUCCUGGCAAGUGAGGAGUGUAAAUAAAUCUUGGGAGGAGGACAUGAGAGAGAAACACAGUCCCUGGAGGACAGCAUUCUGGAGUGGCCACAUGAGUUGGAAACUUCCAUGCCGAAGCCUUAAGAGCCAGCUUGCAGCAUUCCUGAAAGUGUAGCCACCUGCUCCAAUACAGCGCUCAUCACCCAACAUGCUGGUUGAUUGAAGCCACAGCUGAAGACCAAGGCAGAGCUGGUCCAAGGAAUUGUGAUGCAGGCACAAAGAACAUCUGCUGUGAACAACCUGCUCCAAACCACCAGCAUCUCUGACUAAAUGACCUUCGAAUCCUCCAGCACAAUCUCAUCUCACUCUGCAGCCAUUCAAAUCUUCAACGGGCAGCUCUGAAAAUAAAGCCCAAGUCUUCCCCCAGGCCUCGGCACCUCCCUGGGAUCCUCCCCUGGCCACCUCUUGGCAUUGUGGGCAUCAAAAACUUGCCCCUUUCCAUCACUCACUCAGCCUCACUGGUCUCCUUGUUCCUACCACACCCAAGCACAUGCCUGCUGCAGGGCCAUUGCACCUGCUGUUCCUGCUGCCCUAGUGCUCUUCUCGAGGGUAGUCACAUGACCAGCUCCCUCACUUUGCCUGGUCUCUGCACAGAUGCCCUGCUCUGAGGUCCUCUCUGACCAUCUAUCACAGACAGUUGGGCUCUCCUCCCUGCCAGUCUCAUUCCUCCAGCCUCACUUUAUCAUCACUCCAGGCAUCUAUAACCACCUAGAGUCCCAUCAUACAUCUAUUUCUAUGCUGUCUGUUUCCCCUCAUCCCACGAGACUACUCAUUCCAUGAAGGCAGAGACAUGAGUCGUCACUGCAACCUGCCAUAUAUAGCUAUAUGCAUACUCAAAAAACGGUGACAGGCUUAAAACAGGUGUCCAGUAAAUAUUUGUUGAAUGGCUGACGACCAUGAAUUCUGGAGGGAGAGUUCAGAAUGGUUUCAUUUUUAAAUUCCCUGCAGAGGAUUGCAAAUAAUAUUUCUGGCUCUGAACACCUGGGUCAGACCCCCUCUAAAGUUUGGUCCAGCCCUGGUACCCCAAGAUGGGCUGGCCUCUCCCCAGCACAAUAGAAGCACUAAGAUCUCUUGCAGCACAGAAAUCUCCACGUCCCUCACCACAAACCCUGAGGUAUUCGGUCACAGAUACAAGCGGUGCACCCUCCAAAUGCCACCCAGAUCUAGAACCAGCCAGAAACGAACAGAGAAGCCUCAUCUCAAAGUCAGCCCCUGCCCAGGAGCUCUCAGCCAAGAACCCCAGCGUAACAAGGGUGAGAAACAGCCCCGGGCUGUCACGCAAGACAGAGACGGUGCAUGCAGAGGAAAAGCCUGCAUGCCUCCGCAGGGAGGAUGUGCCCACUCUGACAUUGGGGUGAGAGGAGGAAAACUGGGCUCAGAGGGGGAAAGCUGGGCUCAGAUGGGCAAUGGGAGUUGGGCAAAUCCCUAAGCAAGAGAAGAAACCAAAGGCGGCCAGGGAGACAUCAGCAUGUUCCUCCUGCACAGCCAUGACAUCCUACAAAUGAUAUCUCUUAAUUUUAACAUCAGCUUUGGGAGAGGGCCAUGAAUAGAUUUCUAAAUAUAUUCCAGAGCAGAAUUAAGUGGGAUCUUCCAGUUUCUGAAAGUGACUUGCGGAGAGUGCAUCAGAUGGGAUGAGAACAUGACAUCAGCCACACAGGCAGCCGUACUGGGCAGCUGCCUGCCGGGCAAACCCCGUGCCCACAGAGACCAUUCUCAACCACUCCUCCCAACCACACCAGUUCCACGCACCUUCUCUAACAGGAAUGGGGCCUGCCUCAGGGUCAACUGAGGCCUCUAGCUAUCAGAUUCCAGAGAGAUCUCUGCAGACCCUGGCUCUAGGCAGAAUUUACAAAGAAAACAAAUGAGAAUCUAUUUCCAUGACUCAAGAUGCCCCGCAAGCAGAAGAGGAAUUUAAAAAGAAGUUCUGGAUUGAAGGACAUUCUACAGAACACCCUACAGGUGCUCCUCAAAACUGCUAAGGUCACUAAGAACAAGCAAAGUCAGAAAAGGCGUCACAGCAAGACAGCCUGAAGGUACAUGAUGUCCAGAUGUCAUGCGGGAUCUGGAUGGCAUCCUGGGAUGGAAAAAGGGCAUUAGAAAAAUACUAAGGAUGUUGGAAUAAAGUAUGAACUU